CAGAGGAUAACUUGGAUCUUGUAGCGUAGAAGAACAUCGA
rnacentral:rRNA from 17 species